rnacentral:rRNA from 1 species
UUCCGUAGGUGAACANGCGGAAGGAUCAUUG